UACGGGGGGAGCAAGCGUUGUUCGGAUUUACUGGGCGUAAAGGGCGCGUAGGCGGUCGUGACAAGUCACUUGUGAAAUCUCCGGGCUUAACUCGGAACUGGCAAGUGAUACUGUCGGACUAGAGUACAGAAGGGGCAACUGGAAUUCUCGGUGUAGCGGUGAAAUGCGUAGAUAUCCGGAGGAACACCGAUGGCGGAGGCAGGUCUCUGGGCCACUACUGACGCUGAGAAGCGAAAGCAUGGGGAGCGAACAGG
rnacentral:rRNA from 1 species